UACAGAGGGUGCAAGCGUUAAUCGGAAUUACUGGGCGUAAAGCGCGCGUAGGUGGUUCAGUAAGUUGGAAGUGAAAUCCCCGGGCUCAACCUGGGAAUUGCAUUCAAAACUGGCCAACUAGAAUACGGGAGAGGGGGGUAGAAUUCCAAGUGUAGCGGUGAAAUGCGUAGAUAUAGGAAGGAACACCAGUGGCGAAGGCGACCACCUGGACUGAUACUGACACUGAGGUGCGAAAGCGUGGGGAGCAAACAGG
rnacentral:rRNA from 1 species